rnacentral:rRNA from 1 species
AUUGAACGCUGGCGGCAGGCCUAACACAUGCAAGUCGAGCGAGCGGCGGACGGGUGAGUAAUGUAUGGGGACUGCCCGAUAGAGGGGGAUAACUACUGGAAACGGUGGCUAAUACCGCAUACUAUCGGAUAACCCAUAUGGGAUUAGCUAGUAGGUGGGGUAAAGGCUCACCUAGGCGACGAUCUCUAUCUGGUCUGAGAGGAUGAUCAACCACACCUGGAAUUAAACAGGGCCCGAACUCCAACGGAGGACAGAGUGGGGAAUUUUGCACAAUGGGCGCAAGCCUGAUGCAGCCAUGCCGCGUGUAUGAAGAAGGCCUUAGGGUUGUAAAGUACUUUCAGCGGGGAGGCGUGACCCGAAGAAGAAGCACCGGCUAACUCCGUGCCAGCAGCCGCGGUAAUAG